ACCUCUAAUUUGGCUUGAUAGUUCUCCAGGCCAAAAUAGUUCAAUGAUUUCAGGAGCCGGAGUUUCCAAGUUAUAGGUACGGUAGUGGACAAACGCAUGGCAGGACGUACUCGCUUCUUACUGGUACUUGAGGUGGGUCCUCAAAUUACAAAGGAAAAUAGCAUGCUAAUGAAUGUUAGCAAGGGAGGCGAUUGAUUACAACAUAAGCAAACUGAUCAUCAAGGCCAUCAAUCUGAUUUCCAUUUUUCGUGAGAAGAGUACUGUUUUAAAGGCAAAAUUUUGACGGUUGCCCUUCAAAAGAAGCUUCUAGCGAAAAGUGCCACUCCGCCUUAAUGUGCGGGCAUAUGCCCUUUUACGUGGCCAUACAUUACAGCACCAUGUGCGGGCAUACAUCCUUUUACGUGGCCGUACAUUACAGCACCACCAUGCCAUGCUUCGAUAACUGGCUCUCUAUAGUUAAAGAACGGCACCAUGACUACUCCGGCCAUACCCUGCUGUGACUGUCAACACUUUACCGUUCUCAAGAACGGACAGCACCACAUGCUGCCUACCAGCCUAAGUUGCGCGCCAUUCGGCUCAGAGCGCCGCCCCCUCAUGAUGAGGGCGAACAGUGCCUCUGCCACCUAGGCCUUUCCACCGGGACUAUAAAUAGCCCGGUCAGGUCCGCCGCCGUCGCGCAGGAGAUGGCCCCCGUCUUCUUCUUCCAACAACCAGCGGCUCCCUCGACUCCUCCGGCGUGGUCACCCCCGGGCCAAAUUUGAACCACAACAAUUGGUAACCAGGCAGCACUCCUCAACAGUUUCACUCGAGAGGGAAAUCCAUUCUGCAAAGCCGCAGCACAGAAAGAAAAACAUCCAGAAGAUAACCGAGGGUCAACCCCACCAACUUGCAACACCCAAAACCCAGGAAGAUUUAAUACACCUUUCAAUGUUGUCACUGGUUAUUUGCCACCAAAAGGAACCACAAUGAUAUAGUGACCAAGAGUUUUAUUCAGAAAUGUAGGAAAACUUCAUCCAAGGUUAAUACUUCGAACCGUGAAUAUAUGGUUACUGAGCAGCAACAAUCCA